GCCAUGUUACUUUGAAAAACUGGUUCCUCUAUGAUCACUGAAGUUAAGCAACAUCGAGCCUGGUUAGUACUAGAUGGGUGACUGCUUGGGAAUGCCAGGUACUGUAAU